UACGGGGGGGGCUAGCGUUGUUCGGAAUUACUGGGCGUAAAGGGCGCGUAGGCGGUCUAUUAAGUUGGAUGUGGAAACUCUGGGCUUAACCCAGAGCCUGCAUUCAAAACUGAUAGGCUGGAGUUCUGGAGGGGAUAGCGGAAUUCCUGGUGUAGCGGUGAAAUGCGUAGAUAUCAGGAGGAACACCGGUGGCGAAGGCGGCUAUCUGGACAGAAACUGACGCUGAGGCGCGAAAGCUAGGGGAGCGAACGGG
rnacentral:rRNA from 1 species